ensembl:snoRNA
AUCCAAGGUGAUUCCCUCUCCAAAGGGCCUGCUCCCACCCCUCUUCAGGAAGUAGCAACUUGGAAUAAAAUCUGGCAUGCGUUUGGUUGUUGGAGGAGAGGAGAUGUUUGCUUUCUUUGUGUUCCUUUGGCUGCCUACAUAU